GCUCGCUGCAGGUUCUCCUGGCUCGGCGGCGCGGAGGCAAAGGCCUGUUUCUGCAAAGACUUUGUGAGGCCCCAUGACUCUUCCUCAACCUCCCGACCGCUGGAGGUCCCUGAUAGUUGAAUAAGCUAAGUGCAAUGUGCCCGCCCAGUUCUUUCCUGGAAGAUGAAACACAGCUCCCUGAGUCAGGAGACAGAAGAAUGGAUAAACAUUCCUCAAUUGCUGUUGAUAGGUUCUCACCCCAGAACCCAGGCAGUCGGCCUCAUGCUCCAGAGUGCAGGUCCCAUAAGGCGGCUACGAUUUUGUUCUGUCUCCACUCUGGGGAGUUGGAAGGCUGGAGCACGGACGAGCCAUCUCUCCCCCUACCUCCUGACCCAAGGGGAGCCGUCAAUUAGAGCCGUGCUUGAGCCUAAGGCUGACCUGAACCGUUUGAAGGCAGAUCUUCCAUGGAGUGCCCCGGUCCUUUUCUGGAAAGGUCAAAGGGAUGAGAGGGGUCUCUGCAGUGUCCUGGAUCUGGUUUCAACCUCACCUUCUCCAUGUAUGAGAAGACAAGUCACUUGGAUUCACCAUGCCUCGGUUUCCCCAGAUGGCAAGCAGGACUCAGCCUUUUGUACCUGGUCCAUCAGAGGACGAGCUUUCACGUGUUAGCCAACACCUCCGUCAUCACCAUCAUUGCCAUGAUCAUCGUCCUCAUCACCUUGACACGCUGAGCUUUGUAGCUUAAAAACAAAAUGCCUUUAACAAUGUGCAACAGGUCUAAGAUGCCACCUUUGGGAUCAGAUGGGAGUUUGGGAUUAUUUCUAUUUUCCAAUUGUUCAGCCCCCUCCCACUAAGUGCGAAGCGGAGAGCCAUUAAGUUGCAAUGGAUUUGAUUCACCACGUGGCCCCUCAAAUCCUUUCUGGAACAAGAUUGGAUGUAAAAAUAAAUCAAAUAAAUGCAUUUUCAGCGUGUGCAGCCCAGCCCAGAGCUCCUUGCAGAUGACUUCUUCCUUUCAAGCAUGUGCCCAGCCAGUGCCACUAGGAAAGUGUCAAAGAGAAAAGCCGGCUCUGGCCCCGGGUUGCAUUGGAGCAGUGGAUUGAGCUCUUCAACUCUCAGCACUUCAACACUCCGCUUGUCCCCUAAGGGUUUUCUGAAGGUCACUGAUGCUGGCAGGAAGUGUGGAAAAAGGAUGUUUAUACCUGGGGCCGGGAGAUGGCCUCUCUCAGGCUGGGAGAGACUGGCAGAGCUGCCUGAUAAUGAGAACAAUGCCAUCCACACCAUUGUGAGCACACGGUAAGCCUCAGGCAUGUGGUACACCUGAGAGGCGCUUCUGUGUCUCCUGGAUUGUUUAUGACAAUCAUGACAAGCAGCCACUGCCUUCCCAUUUCACAGCCAAAGGAAGCAUGGUGUGGGCAGAUGCAGUUGCAGUUUGUCUCCAAGGAAGGAAAGUGGCUGAGUUGUAAGUGGCUGAGUUGCAGGCUGGACUUCGGUCCAUAUUAUUAUGGGUUGAACUGUGUUCCUCCCCCCAGAUUUAUGUUAUGGUCCUACCUCCCAGGACCUUGGAGUGUCACUUUACUUAGAAGUAAUGUAGUUGCAGAGGUAAUUAGUUACGAUGAAGUCAUGCUGGAAUGGGGUAGGCCCUCGUCCAAUAGGACAGGUCCUUAUCAAAAGGGGAAAUUUGGAGACAGACCCGCACUCAGGGUGGAUGCCACCUGAGGAUGGAGGCAGAGGUCAGCGUGGUGCUUCUACAAGCCAAGGAAGGCCAAGGAUGACCAGUGAGUUAGGAGAAGCCGGGAGAGGCCAGGGACAGAUCCUCCCUCACAGUCUUAGAAAGAAGCAGUCCUGCUGACACUGCAGUCUGGAUCUUGCAGCCUCCGGAACUGUGAGCGAGUACACUUCGGCUGUGUAAGGCACACGGUCUGUGGUGCUUUGUGAAUUACGGCAUCCCUGGGAGACUGACACAGACAUCAAACCAAACCUGUCCCCUUUCCACUGUAUUUCCUUGAGCUUUAACGGAGCAACGAGAAGACUUUGAAGGCCCCCUUGAGUCCUCUACAGGGUGAGGACGGAAAGGAAGCAGGCCUGGGCUCCAGGGUCCCAGGGCUCUGGGAGAGGACUCUUGGUGCCUGCUGGUGGCUGUUCCCUCCUCCUCUCUGUCAAGCCACUUUUCCCGUUUCUGCACUCGCUCUUGGGCUGAGACUCCUCAAGAGGGAACUCCCUUGGUGCCGCCAUCUGCGGCCGUGGGAGGGAUCAGAGUGGCCCAGCGGCCAUGCAGAGGGUGCGCAGUGCUGAAGAAGUCAUGGAGCAAACUGAUCUCUUACUAGAACGAAGUCAACAAGAGCUACCCUUGGACUCUGGAUGCCUGGGAGGGUCUGGAGCCGUCGGGCAGAAGGAGAAGGUGGAGCGGGUCUUCCCGGAGGCCGGCUCCCACGGGGGCGGCCAAGGCUCUGGGCCUCUCGGCAUGCCUCUGCGGAUCCUGUUGGAUCCAGAACCGUCUGGAUCACCUGAAGAGUUAUUUGAUACCAGCUGAUUUUCUAAGGGGACAGCCGGGUGGGGAUAUCAUAGGCAGGCACACUGGCUUCAGAAUUAGAGGCCAAAAGUGUGGACUCUCUCAGCCACUAACUCAGUUCUGCUCUCUGGCAAAACCCUUCGCAGCUCGGGCUGCCCUGUCUGUGAGUGGAGGUGGGCAGCUCCCGUCUCAGAGUCCUGGUGGGGGUGAGGUGGAAGGCCCCAGGGGCGGCACCCUCCAGUGAACUCCGUAGCUUCCUCCCCUUCAUCUCCCACGUUGUUUACAGUGUAGCUAGGGGUCAGGACACUGUCCCUAUUUCAUAUGCUUUGUUUGGCAUUUUCGGUAUUUAAGCCUCUGUCAAUUCAAUCAGACUUCGCUACAGAAAGGGCAAGAUACCAGGAAAUGCAGACAGUGCCUAAGCAUCGUUCCUCAUCUCGAACAGUGGUUCUAAGUUGACUCUGUGGUGUAUUUCUAGUGGCAAUACUAGAUAUUUUCCUUUAUAGCAAAAAUGAGAAUCUUUAUUAAAACAACUAUGUAUUAUUAUUUAACAUCCUGAUUCCAAAGUGACAGCUAUAUGGCAUGGCUUAUUAAGAAAGUUGAUAUCUAGGUGCUUUGACAGUUUACUAAAUCUUUUUUUAAAAAUUUAUUUAUUUAUUUUUGAGACAUGGGGUCUUGCUAUAUUGCCCAGGCUGGUCUCAAACUCCUGGCUCAAGCAAUCCUCCCACUUUGGCCUCCUAAAGUGCUGGGAUUACAAGUGCGAGCCAUGACACCCAGCCCAGUUAACUAAUUCUUGAUGAUUGAAAGCUUUAUAGCCCUAGUCUCACCUCACUCUUUAAUGCCUGCUUUCCACCUCUGAAGCUAGAAUGUUCCUGAUGCAUACGUGUGGGUCUAGGGUGGUGAGUGGGAGUUUUCUCUGUCCCUGAUCUCUGCUAAUAAUAUUGAAGGAUACAGGCCUAGUUUUUCACCAUCCCUAUUCUGAACUAGGGAGGAAGGAGAGAGAAAGAGAAGGGGGCAGUGGAGAGAGAGAAAAAGAAUGAGAGAGAGAUUGAGAGAGGAGGCAGGCAAAACUCCUAUCUAUAGGCCAUUUCCGUGCCUUUGAGAAUAUUAAUUCCUGUGGCUUCUCCUGGAGAGAAUGAACAAUUUUCCACUCUCAUAAAGAAAAAAGACAAUUUCCUUCCUCCCAAUAGGAGUUUGCAGGGGCCCUGUGCUGCUCUGGAAAUUGCACGAAAUGUCAAUACUAUAGACAGACAUAUACAUUAAGCUCUUCUUAGCCUGGCUCCUUAACAACCACUCUGGUGUCCACAGCCUGCCUUAACGACACACUGCCUUAGUGGUGCGGUCCAAGAUGACUGGUUUUAAAAAGAGCUGUGUCCUCCUGGUGCAGACAAUCUCAUGACGACAAUGUGUUAGGCAGGAAACAUGUGGGUCUUCAAGCAGAAUUCCCGUGACUCUGAGCUGAGACUUACCACGGGGACCCUGAAUUACUUGGAACCUUGUGCUUUCAGCUUUGGAGGGUGCGAUGGGGUGGGGGGGCCUCUCUUUUAGCAAGAUUUUAAGCUCAUGAGAGGCACGUCCUGCCCUGUGCCUCAUUGCCAGCAACCUCUGUAACCCUCUAGAACCUGAAACUUAAUGAUAACUGUGUGGGGAGGGCCUGCCAGAGGGCUUGGCUUUGACACUUGUUUAUGGAGCAGGCAGGCGUGUUGCACCCCUGUUUGCAAAAAUGGGGCUGAUUUUAUUCUUACUGUGAAGGUCUUUAGCUAUUUUCUUCCAGAGAAGUACUACCUUUCCUGUUCUCUCUCUUUUCUAAACGUUUCUUUGAAAUAUAAUACAUAGGCAGAAAAGUGCAUAGGAGUGUACAGCUUGAUGCCUUUUCAUUGACGGAACACACCUGUGUAACUGGCAUCCAGAUCAAGAGACAGAAUAUCCCAUAACCUCUGAAAUUGCCCCACUCCCCUGCUCCCCACCACGGUAAAUCACUAGCCUGCCCUCCAAUGAUACAGAGCAGUUUUGCCUGUUCUUGUACUUUACAUAAACGGAGCUACACAGUAUGUGCCUUCUUCGCGCCUGUUUCUUUUGUUGCAACAUUUAGUCAUUUAGUCAGAUUUAGCCACAGUCUUGCCUGUGGUUUUCAAUCCUUCAUUCUGGUUGUUAUAUGGUAAUCCAAUGCAUGAAUGUACUACAGUUUAUCUACUCUACUGAUGAGGAACACGUAGUUAGCUUCCAGUUUGGGGCUAUUACAAACAGUGCUGCUGGGAAUAUUGUAGUUUACACUUUUUGUUGCAUGUCUGUGAGCGUGUCUACUGGAGGGCAUACCUGGGAAUGACAUGCUAAGGCCAAGGGCUCGUUAAUCUUUAACAGACAGAUGCAACCAAGGCCAUGACAGUUUGCAACGGCCAGGAGGGAGAGUCCUGCUUGGGUACAUCUUGGCCAUACAUUUUGGUCAACACUUGGUAUUUUUCUGGUGCACAUUUUCGUUAUUUGCCUUUUCUUUUUCCUCCCCUCUCCUCCAGAAAUACAGCCAUUUGGAUUGACAAAGAUGCAACAGCAAUUCAAUGGCGGAAUAGUCAGUAGUCGGUUUAACCAAUGGUAUUGGAAAAAUGGGACAUCCAUAUGUGAAAAAAUGAACCUGGGCCGGGCGCAGUGGCUCAUGCCUGUAAUCCCAGCACUUUGGGAGACUGACGCAGCCAAAGCAGGAAGAAAGAGGCCACAUGAGGCCACGUAGCCACAACAAUCUCAAGGGAGGCCGGGAAAUUAAGUAUCUGACGAAAAAGAGCAGGAGUUCCACCUUAAAUGAAGCAGGAGCCAGGCCUGAGAGCAGGACGCACUGCCAUGCUGAACAGAGGGCCUGGUCCCUAAAGCAGGAAGGAGUCAAGGAUCGCAGUCGGGAUUGACAAAUGAUAUCUCUGCCAUAUUAAAAAAUAAUCUAUCUACUUGCAAAUUUGAAAAAAUUCUAGAUAACUUGGGUUAAAAAGAAAAUGAACACUUUGGGAGGUUGAGGCGGGCAGAUCACGAGGUCAGGAGAUCGAGACCAUCCUGGCUAACAAGGUGAAAUCCCGUCUCUACUAAAAAUACAAAAAAUUAGCUGGGCACAGUGGCGGGUGGCUGUAGUCCCAGCUACUCGGGAGGCUGAGGCAGGAGAAUGGCGUGAACCCGGGAGGCAGAGCUUGCAGUGAGCCAAGAUAGCACCACUGCACUCCAGCCUGGGUGAAAGAGCAAGACUCCGUCUCAAAAAAAAAAAAAAAAGAAAGAAAGAAAAUGAAAAUCUAUUUAGAAAUAAUUGGGAAUAGAUUAACUAAAAUUCAGAAGAGGAGAAAAAAUCUAAAGAAGGGGAAAAGUCUAAAGAGAAGGAUAACCCAUAGAAAAAAAUGGAAGGGUAAUCAGAGGACUACAGGCCCACACUGCUGUGCAGGCAUAUUCUGCAUUUCUAAGGAAUAAUGACAUUCAUAUUAAUAUUAUACUUAUAAAAGCUAUUCCACAGAAUAUAAAAAGAUGAUCUCCAACUCAUUCAAUAAAGCUAGUAUUACCCUGACACCAAAUCCAGACAUAACUAGUGCAGAAAAUAUAUACGCCACCCCACUUGUGCAAAUGAUACAAAAAAAUUCCAACUAAAACAUGAGCAAAUACAAGAAUGCGAUGUACUAGAAGAUCACAUUUUUCCUAGGAAUGAAAAGAUGGUUCGAGGUUAGGGAACCUAUCAGUGUAAUUUCCUGCAAUAACAGUUAAAAGAGACCGACGAUAUGACCGUCUCAGUAAACAUAGCAGAUAGUGUGUUGCUGCUCCAUCCUCUACCUGACCUUCUGAGGUCUUCUUGCAGGGAUUAGAAGUCUGGAAGCUCCAUUUCCCAGGCUCUCUGGCAAUGGUUCCAGUUUAGUUUCUACCACUGAGAGGUACUCAUUAGUUUGGCAAAAGGUGAAGAAGGCUGGACUGGAGAUGUGAUUGCUGUUGCACAGGUCACAGACUGCCUGAGCCUGGUUCCACACCAUUCACAGAAGACUAUCAUGGGAAUCCUCUUGGAGCUGUGCAACGUGCACGCCCUGCCUUGGGGCAGGGAGGGGUUCUGCAAUAUAAUUUUUGCAGAAAAGAAUGGGCAUCAUCUUUUCAAAGUAUUCGGUACUAAGGGUUCCCCCUGAAAGAUGUAAGUUUCCUUCUGUUGGCUGAAAUAAUAUAAGAAAUGGAAAAAGUACACUUUCAAGAAUUUCAAUUUAGAUACUGUUUGUAUUUGUGUGUGUAUGCAAAACAGUUCUUGUAUUUUUAUGUACAAGAUUUGGCACAAUAAAUGCUGAUUUUCUUGGGGCUGUGGAUAACA